rnacentral:rRNA from 1 species
AACGUAGGAGACAAACGUUAUCCGGAGUUACUGGGCGUAAAGGGCGUGCAGGUGGUCUGUUAAGUCUGGCGUGAAAGCUCUCGGCUAAACCGGGAGAGGUCGUUGGAUACUGGCGGACUAGAGGACGGUAGAGGCGUGUGGAAUUCCGGGUGUAGUGGUGAAAUGCGUAGAGAUGCGGAGGAACACCGAUGGCGAAGGCAGCCCCCUGGGCCAAUACUGACGCUCAGGCACGAAAGCGUGGGGAGCAAACAGG